UCCACUCUGCCAUCCCUCAACACUCUCCUCUUGAGAACUGCAGAAAAUAGCAACGUUGGGAAUUUGGAUAAAAUUUAUCUUGGGAUGAAAUCCUUUGGCAGCUUUAGAUGGAGAAGUUCCUACUUUCAAAGUAAUAUGACCUUUGACCCAUGUGCAAAAUGCCAAAAGAAUUAGAUAUCUCUAAGUAGGACUGAUUCCAGAUAAAUAAUAGAGCAAUACUUCCAUUUUUAAACCUGUUCUGUGUUUGUGUGUAUAUUCAAUAAAAUAUAAUUUUCAUUUAAAGUUGUUUAGCUUUUAGGAACCUUGGAGGAAAAAGUGUCAGACAUAUCCGAUUUAAUAAAGGGGUAUUUUAAAUUAAAAUAAAAACUAGAAGUAAAGAUUUAAUCUUGUUCCACUGGGAAAAUCAUCUUAAGUUACCUAAUGUUGUCCAAAAUUCAGAAACAUAAUUCAUGUGUGUUUGUGUGUGUGUGAGUGUGUGCACAAGUAUGAGUGUGUUAACUUUGCUUGAGUUCAUGGUCUAAACUCAGUAAAGCGCAGAAAAUAAGCAAAACAGCAUAAAAGAUGAAGAUCCCAUGAUUCAGGGCCCAUUUACUUGAUAAAUUUUUGAUAUGUUAGGUAAUCUUUUCAGCAUAUGUGAUCUAUGAAGAGAUUUUCCAUAAAGGCAUUUGGUAAAUGAGUUUCUGAUGAAAUAUACUUCCAGACUUCAGUAUCUUCAGAAAUAAUUCCAUCCUUUCAUAUUUUUGCAUUUAGAAAAUGAUUUAUGUUCCUUCCAGGUAUCCAUGAGGAGGGCUGUCAACAUUCCAUCCUGGAAAACCUUUACUAAGAUCGAUGUUUCCACAAAGCCUCCUCUUUUGACCCUCUUAUUCCUCAUUCCAAAACAAUGGACUCACAUCACCCAGAAUUCCAUUUUGCUGUGAUUAAAUACACAUAAAGAACUCUUCUUUCCUAUAGCUAUCCACAGGAAGAAAAAUUUCAAGAACUACUGUGUUUUCUGCAUAUGUAUCAAGAAGAAUGCUUUCAUAUCACAUCCAUUAUUGAAAGAUUCAUUCAUCACUGUGCUGAGAGGAUUACAGAUACCUCCUGAAAAUCACAAACUCAUUGAGUUUGCCACUAGAUGUCUGUCACUACAGUAUGCACCAGAAUUCAGGGUUCAUACAUUGGAGAAUUCCGUGAUGUCCAGGGUUCUACAUCACUAAUAGGUUCUGAGGAGUUGUGAGCAAAUUUACUAAGUGUCUUUCCUGUUGGUUCAACAUGGGUUCUCACAAAUGACCUGAUUCUACAGCAAAUAUCUAUUACCUCUUGGUGUCUGUUAUCUACUGACCUAUUUCUCUAGGGGCCACUCCUUUUCUAUCUACUCAUGUUGUUGAGGUGUUUAGUGGCUUCUAUUUCUGACCUCAUUUGCAGGAGAAGUGGAACAACUUAGAAAGCCUAAAGCAGUCUCUAGAGAGUUGAAAGCAGACUGUUGAAUGACAUCAUAACUCCAGUGAAGGGAUUUAACAAAGGUGGGACCCAGACCAGACGAAAUUGUGAAUCAGCCAUCUAAUCAUGUCCACCAUCUAUCUCUAGAGGAAGGAAUUUCGUGGAUACAAAUAAAGUAGUUGGAACCCUAUGGCAAGUGAGUUGCAAACUUCUCUGUUAACUAAAUUCUACUGCAUUGACCGGACCCCCUUCCCGGUUCUAACACAUCCUUUUAACAAUCUCGGUAGCUUUGAUGCUACUGUUUCACUAAUGUGGGCACACGCCUCCCCAUCCUUAUCUCUUUCCACCAAAUCACCCAUUAGUAGCUCAGCCUUGUCUCAGUCUAGAUUCCCUUCACUUGCCCUUUCUCCCUCACCCCCAACACCUCUGACUUUUGUUUCCAACCAACAUUAUACUGUGGGAAAAUGUAUUUGGUCUUAAGAUUCCAGGGCCUCCCUUGCAAUUCUCUCUGGACCCUGUUCCUUUCCCUACCUCCUGUUGACUCAGUGGGCUGGGGGCAGGGUCUGCUCCCCAUUUUCUUUCCUAAGCCAUUGUUCCUCCAA